rnacentral:pre_miRNA from 1 species
ACAACAUUCGGACUGACGGUCUAACAAACAAUUACACACGCUCCGUGGAAAAUCUUCCCUUUGUCGU